ensembl:lncRNA
CGGGGAUGAAAACCUGCAUCACAACAAAAGGAUUUCCCUGAUUGCAGAAAUGAGUCAAACAUCUCUGAAGCUGAAAAAGAAGGUCAGUGAUUCGAAUGCCCUAGAGUCUUACCGAGGAGCUGAGGAAACACAAAUACCAGUCUAUCCUUCACCUCUGGGAAUUCUCACAAUUUCUACCUGGUAAUAAUUCAGAUACUGAGAGUAAUUUGAUCAUAAGACCAGAAGAUACAUCCGUCAAUAAUCUGCACAGGAUUAAGGUCUUUGUUUUAAAAACAUCACACUAAUAUUGAAUGAGCCCGGGACCAGGUACUCAAAAGAGUCUAGACUCCGAAACGAGACGGGACUCUGAGAAAUCGGG